rnacentral:rRNA from 1 species
CCUAAGGAUGGGUCUGCGGCCUAUCAGGGUAGUAGUGGGUGUAAUGUACCUACUAGCCUACGACGGGUACGGGUUGUGAGAGCAAGAGCCCGGAGAUGGAUUCUGAGACACGAAUCCAGGCCCUACGGGGUGCAGCAGGCGCGAAAACUUUACAAUGCUGGAAACAGCGAUAAGGGGACCUCGAGUGCCAGGAUACAAUCCUGGCUGUCGUAAUGCCUAAAAAGCAUUGCAUAGCAAGGGCCGGGCAAGACCGGUGCCAGCCGCCGCGGUAACACCGGCGGCUCGAGUGGUAACCGCUAUUAUUGGGUCUAAAGGGUCUGUAGCCGACUGAAUAAGUCUCUUGGGAAAUCUGGCAGCUCAACUGUCAGGCUUUCAGGGGAUACUGUUCAGCUCGAGACCGGGAGAGGUGAGAGGUACCUCAGGGGUAGGGGUGAAAUCUUGUAAUCCUUGAGGGACCACCAGUGGCGAAGGCGUCUCACCAGAACGGAUCUGACGGCAAGGGACGAAAGCUAGGGGCACGAACCGGAUUAGAUACCCGGGUAGUCCUAGCCGUAAACGAU